AGAAGAAUAUAAUUGAUUUAUUACAUUGAUUUAUUACAAAUAUAAAUAUGUGAAAUCAAUGAUGUAAAUUGUGAAAAUUAUGUUAUGGUUUUUGUUUGUUCCACACGAGUGUAAACCUCACAAAUUUUUCAAGUGGAUUUUCAAACAUUUUAAACCCUAUACCUUUUUUCUCACAAAAACAUUUUAUUCAGAAUUAUGGAAAUUAGAACCAAUCACAGAUAGGACUACUUUAGCACAACCAAAACCACCCGUCUUGUCACCCUCACUUCUUAAGACCUCUUAAGGUCCGUAACGUUUCUUCAAGAUUCAUAAUAAAAUCAGAGCAAGCCCUGUAAUAUUGCUUCAGCAAAGCAUGACGUAUCAAUUGCACCAUCUGGGGAGAAACCUAUGUGGUCUUAUACAUGAAAUCUAUGCUAUUUCAAUUGAACUCCCACAGCUAACUUCACCCCAAUAUUUUAGCCACACUAAGACUAUGGGAAGGAACAAGCACUCAGAAAUGCAGGGUGGUCAGCCAAUUUGCAUAAUAUGAAUUCAAUAGGUUUAAAAUUUUUUAUUUAACAUUUAUUUAGAGAAGAAGCUGUUAGUCUCAUGGGGGCAGGGUAGGGUAGGUUAAAGCCAGUGAUGGGGCCUCAGCUCUGCUCUGCAAAACCUACUUUACAAAUUAAAGCUCCUCUUUUAAGUUGGACCCACCCUCUGACAGAGACAGUUUAAUGACCAUCUGUUUUUAUUCAAAAUACUCCUUGGGGGAAGGAGGCAUCUCACCUCACACUCCAAGCGGCUUAUCAAAGUAUUUCCUUCCAACCAAAGACAAACAUGUUCCCUGAGAAGAGAGCUGGUAGAUAUUUUCUUUCUUCAUUUUUUUACAUGUCCUGGAAUGGUUCAGCAACCUAAUAAUGUUUUAUCAAUCCUCGUGAGCACUUCUCUCAGAUCCUGGCUUUCAUGCAUGUCCGUGUGAAGAGACCACCAAACAGGCUUUGUGUGAGCAACAUGGCUGUUUAUUUCACCUGGGUGCAGGUGGGCUGAGUCCGAAGAGAGUCAGCGAAGGGAGAUAAGGGUGGAGCCAUUUCAUAGGAUUCGGGUAGGUAAAGGAAAAUUACAGUCAAAGAGGGUUUAUUCUCUGGCGGGCAGGAGUGGGGGUCACAAAGUGCUCUGUGGGGGUGCUUUUGAGCCAGGAU
rnacentral:lncRNA from 1 species